GAUGAACGCUGGCGGCGUGCUUAACACAUGCAAGUGGAGCGACGAAGCGGGCUUCGGCCCGUGGCAGAGCCGCGAACGGGUGAGUAACACGUGGGUAACCUACCCCGAUGACCGGGACAACCCGAGGAAACUCGAGCUAAUACCGGAUGUUCUCACUUCUCGUAAGGGAAGUGAGCAAAGAUAGCUUCGGCCUUCGCAUCGGGACGGGCCCGCGGCCCAUUAGCUUGUUGGUGGGGUAAUGGCCUACCAAGGCUUCGAUGGGUAGCUGGUCUGAGAGGACGAUCAGCCACACUGGGACUGAGACACGGCCCAGACUCCUACGGGAGGCAGCAGUGGGGAAUCUUGCGCAAUGCGCGAAAGCGUGACGCAGCAACGCCGCGUGGGGGAAGAAGGCCUUCGGGUUGUAAACCCCUUUCAGCUGGGAAGAUAAUGACGGUACCAGCAGAAGAAGCCCCGGCUAACUCCGUGCCAGCAGCCGCGGUAAAAC
rnacentral:rRNA from 1 species